rnacentral:rRNA from 1 species
AUACGUAGGUGGCAAGCGUUGUCCGGAUUUACUGGGCGUAAAGGGAGCGUAGGUGGAUAUUUAAGUGGGAUGUGAAAUACUCGGGCUUAACCUGGGUGCUGCAUUCCAAACUGGAUAUCUAGAGUGUAGGAGAGGAAAGUAGAAUUCCUAGUGUAGCGGUGAAAUGCGUAGAGAUUAGGAAGAAUACCAGUGGCGAAGGCGACUUUCUGGGCUGUAACUGACACUGAGGCUCGAAAGCGUGGGGAGCAUACAGGAUUAGAUACCCUUGUAGUCCACGCUGUAAACGAUAAAUACUAGGUGUAGGGGUUGUCAUGGCCUCUUUGCCGCCGCUAACGCAUUAAGUAUUCCGCCUGGGGAGUACGGCCGCAAGAUUAA